UACGUAGGGUCCGAGCGUUGUCCGGAAUUACUGGGCGUAAAGAGCUCGUAGGUGGUUUGUCGCGUUGUUCGUGAAAACUCACAGCUCAACUGUGGGCGUGCGGGCGAUACGGGCAGACUUGAGUACUGCAGGGGAGACUGGAAUUCCUGGUGUAGCGGUGGAAUGCGCAGAUAUCAGGAAGAACACCCGUGGCGAAGGCGGUUCUCUGGGACGGUACUGACGCUGAGACGCGAAAGCGUGGGGAGCGAACAGG
rnacentral:rRNA from 1 species